UACGUAGGGGGCAAGCGUUGUCCGGAUUUAUUGGGCGUAAAGAGCGUGUAGGCGGCCAAACAGGUCCACUGUGAAAACUCGAGGCUCAACCUCGAGAGGUCGGUGGAAACCGUCUGGCUAGAGUCCGGAAGAGGAGAGUGGAAUUCCCAGUGUAGAGGUGAAAUUCGUAGAUAUUGGGAAGAACACCGGUGGCGAAGGCGGCUCACUGGCUCAUAUCUGAC
rnacentral:rRNA from 1 species